CUUCUUUAUCAAAUCUCAGCCAGUCACUGUCCUUGGGAAGAAAUAAAUUUUAGGUCUAAAAAUUAAGUAAUAAACAUAUCUGGCAGGUAAAAAUAUCUGGAUAAUUAAGUAGAAUUUUUCAUUUCUUCAUCAAGAUAAAUUGGGCCAUAGACAUAUGAAUGCACUGGCUCGACCCAGCUAACUGCUGAGAUAGGGAGCCCUUUAGCUCCCAAACUAGAUUUGCUUCCACAUCAUCCAUUCCACUAACCUGCCAGAGCUAUUGAUGAACAUAUAAGGCAAUGAUUCCCAAAGUGUGGUCCCUGGACCAGCAGCUUCAGCGCCAUCUGGGAACUUUUUGGAAAUACAGAUUUUCAGGUUCCAGCCAAGACCUGCAGACUUUUCAAAAACCCUGGACCUGGGGCUCAGUAGCCUCUAUUUACCAAGCCCUCCAGGAGAUUUUCAUGCAUCUUCAAGUUGAGAACCACUGAUUCUUAAUCUUUGCAGCAUAUUAGUAUCACUGGGGGGGGGGGAUUUUUCUUAAAAAACUGACACCAGGAUUCUAUCCUCUAGAGAAUCUGAUCUAAUAGGUUUGGGGUGAAGCCACUGCACUGGUAUGGUUUAAAAGCUCCCCAGAUGAAUCUAAAGUGCAGCCCAGGUUAAGAAUUUGAUUUCAGGCUCUGAGUUCUCACAACAACCUCAGAAACAGGCUGCUGCUUCCAGUCUUUCCCUCCGAUCAGUUCUCCACCUGUCUCUCCACACCCACUCUCCCACCUCAGGAUUUACCUCUAAUCCAGUAGUUCUAGAACUUGACUGUGCCUCAGAAUCACAGUGCCAAGGGGAUUGUGGAAAACAGUUUGCUGGGCCUCAACUCCAAAGUCUCUGAUUCAGUAGAGCUGAGGCAGAGCCCCAGAAUUUACCUUUCUACUAAGUUCCCAGGUGAUGCUCAAGCUGCUGAUCAGACUUCUAACCCCUUGCUCUCUAGUCACUCUGGCCUUGGUGAGAAAAGAAAACUUAUGGCAGUAAUGAGCUUACCUUGCAGGACCUCCAGUCUGCAGAUCGCCAGCCCACUGCAUGGAGUUCACUGCCCUGGACCAGAAGGCAAGGAGGAGCUGAUCAUCCCUAUCUCCGAGUCACUUCCGCAACCUAUACAAUCCACCAUUGUGCUGAAGGGAGCCUGGGCUCCCCCUCCUAUUUCACACCCUCUCUGCCCUGCUGGACAAUAAGCGAAACCAAAGUAGCAACCAUGCUCUGAUCAUCAGUGAUCUCCACACCCAGCACAGCCCUAGCCCAUAUCAGAGGCUUCAUUAUUGAGUGAAUGAAUGAAGCAAUGAAGGAAGAGGAGGAAAGAAAUACUCAGUGAAUUCUACGUCAACUGAAGUCAACUCCUGCAGAACCCAACCAAGGAC
rnacentral:lncRNA from 9 species